rnacentral:tRNA from 1 species
GAAAAUGAAAACUCUUGAAGCUGCUAACUUUAAGCCUUGCAAUAAUAUGUAACAUUUUCU